UCAGUCUUAUUUUCACGAACCAAAGCGUUUGAAGUACCAUCGUAUUUGGGGGGAAAACGUAGUCCUGUCUUAGACGCGAUUGUUCGCUUUGGACAAUUUUAUGGAGAAUCGGAAAUAGAUGAAGGCAACAAUACCGAAGAAGAAGCUAGGUUAGGGCAACGAUUAGCGGCGAACGAGGUCCCGAAGCCACUCGGAGCCGCCAUUCAAGCGAUGAAUAGCAGCGGAGAGCGAGCUUCGAAACCCCAAAUCGAUGAAUGUAUCGGAGCAGGUGGAGGAGAAGAAGAAUUGAGGAAACGCGUUGAGGAGAGAGAGAGAGAGUAAUUUUGGUUUCAACGAAUUUUUCAAAACAUAGGUUUGGUGAGUUAGGUACUUGGUGCGAAAUAUUUGACCCAAGCAAUAGAGAAUUCUCUCUCCAUAGAUCGUUAGAAGGACGUGCACGCG
rnacentral:lncRNA from 1 species